CAGCACUGUCACCUUCAUGCACACUGUCCCAGGCAAUCCCACCCAGGGCGCCUCUGAUCCUGUCUCUGGCUUGUGGACACAGGUGUCCGGAGCACUGAGGUCCCUGAGACAGUGAGGACCCCGGCUGGACACACCUGGGCAGGAGUAAACUGAGUCACAGAGAAGUGAUGUGACUUGGCCAGGAUCAUGCAGCUGGUCGGGGUGGAGCCAGGCUUUGAACCUGUCUGUCCUGCUCCAGAGCUGGUAUUCAUGACGGGUGUGCUGCAACCCCCUCCUUCUCACACAGAGAACCAGAUGGUGUCUGUGUGUUACGCGCUGGACACCUAAUUCACGAUCCCCGCCGAAAACCACUUCGGGAGCAUUAUGAAUUCCAUUGUGUCCUCCACCCCCAAGGAUAGGUUGGGAUCCUGAACCCCCAUCCCUCAGCAUGUGACUUCAUUUAGAGGUGGGUGUUUACAGAGGUCCUGAAGUGAAAAUGAGGUCAUUAGGGUGGGCCCUAAUCCAGUGACUGGUGUCCUUAUGAAAAGGGGAGAUUUGCGCACAGAAACAGACGUGCUAGCUGGGCAUGGUGGCGCAUGCCUGUGGCCCCAGCUACUUGGGAGGCUGAGCAAGAAGACUGCUUGAGCCUGGGAGGUUGAGGCUGCAGUGAGCAGUGAUUGCGCCACUGUACUCCAGCCCAGGUGUCAGAGGGAGACCCUGUCUCAAAGAAAUAUAAAAAAUAGGCCAAGUAGACUGAGUGUGGUGGCUCACGCCUGCAGUCCCAGCACUUUGGGAGGCUGAGGUAGGUGGAUCACGAGGUCAGGAGUGUGAGACUAGCCUGGCCAACAUGGUGAAGCCCCGUCUCUACUAAAGAUACAAAAAAUUAACCCGGUGUGGUGGUGGAUGCCUGUAGUCCAGCUACUUGGGAGGCUGAGGCAGGAGAAUUGUUUGAACCUGGGAGGCAGAGGUUGCAGUGAGCCAAGAUCGCACCAUUGCACUCCAGCCUGGGUGACAAGAGUGAAACUCCAUCUCCCCCCCCCAAAAAAAAAAAAAUAGGCUGGGGGCAGUGAAAUUGCAGCACUCUGGGAGGCCAAAGCAGGAGGAUUGCUUGAGUUCAAGAGUUUGAGACCAGCCUGGGCAACAUAGUGAGACCAUGUCUGAAAAAUCUAAAAUUAAAAAAGGAAAAAUGAAAAAAAAAAAAGAGACAGCUCCAAAGGGAAGAGGAAGGGAAGAGGGAGAGAGGAGAUGGUCACCUGUGAGCCAAGGAGAGAGACCAGAGCGGAUCCUCCCUGAGGGCCCUGAGAGGGAACCAGCCCUGCCCACACCUUGAUCUGGGACUUCCAGCCUCUGGGACUGUGAUUUUUUUUUUUUUUUUUGAGAUGGAGUUUUGCUUUUAUUGCCCAGGAUGGAGUGUAAUGAUGCGAUCUCGGCUCACUGCACCCUCUGCCUCCUGGUUUCAAGCGAUUUUCCCGCCUCAGCCUCCUGAGUAGCUGGGAUUACAGGUGCAUGCCACCACGCCUGGCUAAUUUUGUAUUUUU
rnacentral:lncRNA from 10 species